AACGAACGCUGGCGGCAUGCCUAACACAUGCAAGUCGAACGAAGCCUUCGGGCUUAGCGGCGCACGGGUGCGUAACACGUGGGAAUCUGCCCUUCGGUUCGGAAUAACAGUUAGAAAUGACUGCUAAUACCGGAUGAUGACGUAAGUCCAAAGAUUUAUCGCCGAAGGAUGAGCCCGCGUAGGAUUAGGUAGUUGGUAGGGUAAUGGCCUACCAAGCCGACGAUCCUUAGCUGGUCUGAGAGGAUGAUCAGCCACACUGGGACUGAGACACGGCCCAGACUCCUACGGGAGGCAGCAGUGGGGAAUAUUGGACAAUGGGCGAAAGCCUGAUCCAGCAAUGCCGCGUGAGUGAUGAAGGCCUUAGGGUUGUAAAGCUCUUUUACCAGGGAUGAUAAUGACAGUACCUGGAGAAUAAGCUCCGGCUAACUCCGUGCCAGCAGCCGCGGUAAU
rnacentral:rRNA from 1 species